AAGUUGUGACUCAUAAAAGUUCUUCUUUGCAAUUUUUUGAUAGCUUCUUCAGCUUCAAAAGUCCAAGUGACUAACCUUUUAUCCCUUUUCCUGCUAUCCUUAAGAUAAUCCGUAAGAACUGCCUGAUGUGAUGCAGCAUUUUUCAGACAACGACGAUGUCGGUUUAAUUCCUUGCUUGGAAACUAAAUAGCCAAGGAAAGAAAUUUCAUCCUUACCAAAGAGACAUUUGGACAAAUUAAUCGUCAUGCCGAAUUGUUUAAGCCGAGAAAACACAGUAUGAAGAUGUUUGGCAUGUUCUUUCUCAUU